rnacentral:rRNA from 1 species
GUUGACCUCGGAUCAGGUAGGGAUACCCGCUGAACUUAAGCAUAUCAAUAAGCGGAGGCAG